rnacentral:lncRNA from 1 species
UACUCAAACUAACCCUUGCAAAAUGAACAAGAGGGUUAAGCAGAUUCCUACAAAGAGACUGAAGACUAAACUAAAUGUAAGUAUAAGCAAACAACAAGAAAGCAACAGAGCUGGUGUCACUUUUAUUCCUAGAUAGACUCAUCAGUCACUGAAGAGGUAAAAAUGAUGUUGGUCCCACUAGAUCUGACAAAGUUAGCCAGAGUAAAUUGUCGUUAGCACAAUGACUUUAUGAUGUAGAUCUACAUUGAUUUUCAUAAUGAUGGUCCUUACCUUUUGUGAAUAUGGAGCACUAAGAUAUCAGUGUAUGUGUUUUUUUUUUUUUAUUUUUUAUUUAUUUACUUAUGAUAGUCACAGAGAGAGAGAGAGGCAGAGACACAGGCAGAGGGAGAAGCAGGCUCCAUGCACCGGGAGCCUGAUAUGGGAUUCGAUCCCGGGUCUCCAGGAUCGCGCCCUGGGCCAAAGGCAGGUGCCAAACCGCUGCGCCACCCAGGGAUCCCUCAGUGUAUGUGUUUUUAAGCACAGGAUGAACUUGGUAGAACAAAGGAGGAACAGGACAAUAAGGAGUUGGCUUUAUUUUUCUCUAAACAUCAUUCUUAAUCAUGAUUGUCUUAGUCCAUUCAGGCUAUUAUAACAAAAUACCAUAAUGAGUGGCUUAUAAAAAACCAGAAAUUUCUUUUUCACAGUCUGGAGGCUGGGAAAUCUGAGAUCAUGGUGCCUGCAUGUUUGCAUUGGCUCCUAAGGGCCCUCUUCCUGGUUCAUAGCUGGCAUCUUCCCAUCAGGUGAAAGGGUCUAGGGGAGCUCUCUGCGGUUUCUUUAAUAAGAGCAUUAACUCCGUUCAUGAGAGCUCCAGCCUCGUGAUCUAAUCACCUCACAUAGACCCCACCUCCUAAUAAUUCACAUUGGAUAUUAAAAUUUUAACAUAUGAAUUUUGAGGUGGCCACAUUCAAAACAUAGCAAUGAUAUCCCCCACCCCACCCCAUUGUUGAACAAGUUAUUGGAUUAAUAUUAUUUUAGUCACUUGCAGCUAUGUAAAAAGCCUCAUGUAGGUAAAUAUAAGCCAUCUUCAGGUGUUAGAGGAUUCAACUCAGCCUAACACUGAAACAGCACUCUCACACCCAGGGGACUUACAGUGUCAGAGGUGUCUCAACCUUUCUCAGGUAGAUGAAGAGAAGCAAGAGCCUUUUGUCACUGGUGCCACUAUUGUUCUAUCUUGAUUAACACUGUCUGGCUCUUCCAUGGGACAUUUGUGUGUUGUUUGGAAUGUCCUCCUGUGGGAAGUGAUGUGGGUGAUACAUUCUACUACCGACUCCUGGGUCCAGCCCCUUCAGCUCUUACCUUCGGCAGUCUACCCUACAGACUCUAACUCCUCACCCUUGUCCUCAUGGGUUGUUUUCUUGGGCAGGCCCCAUCAAGACAGUUUGGACAUGCAUCUAUGUGCCCAUGGGAACCACCUACAUUCUCGCCACCCAAAAGAGAGCAUUCAGGUCUGCUCUCCUCUUGCCUUUGAUGGCUGAAGGCUCUACCUACCCUCCUGCUCUCUGUUGUCACUAGCUGGUAAAUAGAUCCCAAUCUUCAUGUUCACCCUUGCCUUCAUUCAAUCAGUCCCCAAGUUAUUCUGAUUUUACCUCUUAAAUAUUUCUCAAAUGGAUUUUUUCCCUCUCUUUUCUUACUGCCAUUUUUUGAGUUCGAUCUUUCAUCUAUUUUUCUUUCUAACUUAUCUUGUCCUCUUGAAACCUACCCUCCAUGUAACUGCUGGAAUGAUUAUCAAAAAUGAAAAUUGAAUCCCAUCACUAUUCUGCAUAAUGAACAUUGAUGUUUCUCCUUGGGCAUUGCCUACAGGAUCAGUCCCAAGUUUAACUUGGCCUAAAAGCUUCUCCAUGAUCUGAUUCCUGGUCACCAUAAACACAUGCCAAGGUACAUCCUGGCUGCCUUGAUUUUUACUAUCCUUCCAUUGGAAAUGUUUUCUAGCCAUCAUGCUGUCCUCCCCACAGCUAACUCAUUGGUUAAGACUCAGCUCAUUUUAGUCUCCUCCAGGGGCCUUCCCCUGAGACCUCACCUCCACCUACACUCCCAUUGGCCCUGAGCUGGGUUAGGAGCCCCUCCUCAUCCCUCUUUAGGCUCUUUUUGUCACUGUUGGUUCUAUUACUGCACUUACAGUGUAUGUUCCAGUAUGUAUGUGUCCAUUAGACUGAGCAUCUGGGAGGAAGAACAGGGUCUUUUUGAUUUGACUUUCCUUGUGCUGGCACAUGAUAGGCACUAAAAUAUUUGCUGAAGGAAUAAGUGAAGAAAUGGAAGAAUAAAAUAAGGCUUUAAGAUAACAGAGGGCAGGAGAUGAGGUUGGAAAAGAUGAUUUGACUCCUUCUUUCCCCUUUAUUGUUUCUGCUGCAAUUCUGAGUCACCACCAAGUGGGCUUUCUCAACAGCAGUGGGGAAGCCAUCUGUGCUCCCACCACCUGUCUGCAUGUCUUUUUUUCCCACUUAAGAAAAUACAUGGCCAGAGUAGAGAUGGUCAUUCCUUUGACUUGUAGCACAAAGAUUUCUUGCCUAAGAGGAUCGUGACAGUUUGCCUGGUUUUAGGAAACAAAACAAACAAUGGAACUGGUGCCUGUGGGUUUUCUCAUUGGAUUCCAGACGUGUGGUGGGUGUGAGUAAUCAUAGAGAGGUAUUUCUGAAAUGCUUCUAGGUUUCCAAGGUUGUCUGAUAGUCCCAAUUCUUACAAAGCAUUUUCAGACUUUUCAUGACUGCAGUUGCCAAUGGGAAGGUAGACUAGGAAUAGGCAGGAUGAUAGGCAGCCAUGAGAAUCUGGGACCAGGAUGGCUGGAAGACCUAGAAACAGUAUUCAAGAAGCUGCCAUUUGAUGAGGCUCCUAAAUAGCAGGGUUGGGGAGGUAGAGAAAGGCAGGAACAUGGUGGGCCCUAUGGCACAUUUUGCCUCUGUCUGUAUUUACCUAGUGUCUAGCACUGAAUCUGGGAAAUAGCAGACAUCUGCUAAGGGAGAAGGUGACACAGGACUUAGCAAUGUCUAGGAUUAUUUCAAAAAAACAAAUAAACUUGUCCUAAACCAUGGCAGCCACUGAAAAUAACUUAGUCUUGCAAAAGUAUGGACUUUCUAAAUUAAGAGAAAUGGUUUUGGCCUUCAGUUCUUGCAUAUGCCUAAGAUCAUUGUUAUAUAAGCAGUAAGAUCUUUCCUGUAAAACUCUGAAGAAACACCAAUAUGCUUUUGCAGCCUGCUCAGUAUCCAUCUCCCCUUUUUCUGAUAAAAGAGCCCCACCUUUUCUUUUGGGGAAUUAUCCUUCUCUGUAGUUAAUCCAUGUGAGAUCUGUCCUCUUGUUUUCAGAAAUGGACAUGUCUAAGACCCGAGACUAGGCAAUAAAAGGAUAGCAACUCCUGGCCACAGUGAUGUGUCUAGGGGAGAGGACAAAAGUCAGGCCUUGAAGAUACAGGCUUGGCUCUUAUCUUGGAAUGAUUGUCAAAAAAAGCUGGCUUUCUUUCUUUUCUUUCUUUUUUCCUUUCUUUCUUCAUUAGAGAGAGGAAAUCUUAAGCAUUUUGGACUAAGCAUGGAGCCUGACAUGGGGCUUGAUCUCAUAAUCCUGAGUUCAUCACCUGAGCCAAAAUCAAGAGUUGGAUGCUUAACCGACUAAGCCACCCAGGUGCCCCAAAGAGGUUGCUAUGAGAAAAUGUAAGCCUAGAAAUGCUGGAAGCUGUGUUUGGGAAAAGCCUACCUGGAAAUUAUGCCAAGUCAGAGGAAAGCAGAGCAUAAUGAUGGAGAAAAUCAGAUUCCUGAUAACAUUGUAUGUAUGCCUAGAUCAAGCCAGACCUGUAACCAACUUAACCCUGGAUUUGUUAUAUUCCAAAAGUCAAUAAAUUUCUUUUGUUUAAUUAAGUCAGUUUUAAUGGAUUUUCUGUUAUUGUCUAUCCCCAAAUUUCUCACAUUCUAAGACCCUGGAAUUCUGCUAGGAGUGGAUGGAGUCUUACCUACUGCUGUCUAGGAGAUACUUCUUGUAUAUGCCCUCUGGUUCACACAGGAACAUGAUAGAGGCUCACACUAUGGAAAAUGACAGGAGUUAUUAGGACAGAAGCUCAUCCCACUUACUCUUUUUCUUAGGUAGAUACGUAAGGUAAAGAAAUAUUGACUUGAGACAUGAUAUGUAUUUUUAAGGUUACUAUGACAUUUUGAAUACUUUCAAAAGAGAAAAUAAUUUUCCACUUUUCCCUCACCCUCCAUUUCUUCUUCUUCUUUUUCUUCUUCUUCUUUUUAAAGAUUUUAUUUAUUUAUUCAUGAGAGACAGAGAGAGAGAGAGAGAGGCUGAGACAUAGGCAGAGGGAGAAGCAGGCUUCCUGCAGGGUGCCUGAUGUGGGACUUGAUCCCAGGACCCAGGAUCAUGACUUGAACCAAAGGCAGAUGUUCAACCACUGAGCCACCCAGGGGCCCCUCUAUUUUUUUUUUCUAAGGACAGUGAUAAGAAAAGCUCUUCUACUUUGAAUCUUGAGUUUUCUGUUUGUCCUUGCUUCCUAUCCCUCUUUCCCACAGCCCUCCUGCCAGUCUCCCAAUGUGGUGCCUGGGACAGCCUUGCCACAGGGCCCAUACCAAUGCCAAUAGCUCCAAUUCAGAAAUAGUUCUGACAUCAUUGUUCUAACUUUACCUUCUCUCUCUCUCUUUUUUUUUUCCUCUCUCUUUCUUAUUUGCAUUGGACUCAGUUCUGUAUUUAUUCCACAAAUAUUUAUUGGCACCUACUAUAUGAUAAGCACAGUUUUGGGCAUUUCAGAUAUAUCAGUGAACAAAACUAUUCUCACAGAGCUUGCAUAUUAUAGUGUGUGCAUGUGUGUGUAGACAAUGAAUAAUAAAUAUUACAAGCAGGUAAAUUAUAUAGUCAUAAAAGGGUCCUGAGGAAAAAAGAUGAAAAAGCAGAAAAAAA